rnacentral:rRNA from 1 species
CUACGGGUUGCUCCAGUGGGGAAUAUUGCACAAUGGAGGAAACUCUGAUGCAGCAACGCCGCGUGGAGGAUGACACUUUUCGGAGCGUAAACUCCUUUUAUAUAGGAAGAUAAUGACGGUACUAUAUGAAUAAGCACCGGCUAACUCCGUGCCAGCAGCCGCGGUAAUACGGAGGGUGCAAGCGUUACUCGGAAUCACUGGGCGUAAAGAGCGUGUAGGCGGAUAGAUAAGUCAGGAGUGAAAUCCUAUGGCUCAACCAUAGAACUGCUCUUGAAACUGUCUAUCUAGAAUAUGGGAGAGGUAGAUGGAAUUUCUGGUGUAGGGGUAAGAUCCGUAGAGAUCAGAAGGAAUACCGAUUGCGAAGGCGAUCUACUGGAACAUUAUUGACGCUGAGACGCGAAAGCGUGGGGAGCAAACAGGAUUAGAUACCCCUGUAGUC